UACGGAGGGAGCUAGCGUUGUUCGGAAUUACUGGGCGUAAAGCGCACGUAGGCGGCUUUGUAAGUUAGAGGUGAUAGCCUGGAGCUCAACUCCAGAAUUGCCUUUAAGACUGCAUCGCUUGAAUCCAGGAGAGGUGAGUGGAAUUCCGAGCGUAGAGGUGAAAUUCGUAGAUAUUCGGAAGAACACCAGUGGCGAAGGCGUCUCACUGGACUGGUAUUGACGCUGAGGUGCGAAAGCGUGGGGAGCAAACAGGAUUAGAUACC
rnacentral:rRNA from 1 species